GGUCCGGGCAGGUGACACCAGGCGACAAUCUUUCCUUUUUUCCACCUUUGUUAUCUGGUGCUGUGGCCUCUGCAGCCAGAGUUUUCCACAGACAGAAGUUCAGUACCAGAAGAAUGAAAUUGAUAUGUAAAAACAGGCACGACGGCAGCCCAAGGACCCCAGCACAGAAUACACUGCUCAGGGAAAAUUCAGAAGUAAAUAAGCGCCCGGACAAUAAUGAUCUCGUGUGAAGACGCGUCUCUAAUAGGAAGCUGUUCCUUCGGUAACCAUGGGAACUAAAGCUCAGGAAACCAUUGUGAAGAGCGGAGUCGUGUCUCAAUUACACCGGCGUAUAAUGGAAUCGAACCUCACAGAGGUCAAUGCAGCCAGGAGACAGACCGUACAGGCCGAGCACAGAGCACAUAUUCCUCUGGCAUAUUCUAGUCAUUUUAGAGGGAUCACCCCAAUUAAUAUCCCAGGGGCGUGCAGAUACUCUCCUGAAGGACAGCUCAUAGAAUUCAAGGUUCUAGGGGUAUGUAGAGUUUUGCAAUGCUAAUUUGCUGGUAAAAGAAGAAA